GCGCUCGUGGCCCAACUGGCAGAGGCACACGGUUCAGGACCGUGACGGUGAGGGUUCGAAUCCCUCCGAGCGUA
rnacentral:tRNA from 1 species